rnacentral:misc_RNA from 1 species
UACGGAGGGUGCGAGCGUUAAUCGGAAUUACUAGGCGUAAAGCGCACGCAGGCGGUUUGUUAAGCUAGAUGUGAAAGCCACGGGCUCAACCUGGGACGGUCAUUUAGAACUGGCAGACUAGAGUCUUGGAGAGGGGAGUGGAAUUCCAGGUGUAGCGGUGAAAUGCGUAGAUAUCUGGAGGAACGUCAGUGGCGAAGGCGACUCCCUGGCCAAAGACUGACGCUCAUGUGCGAAAGUGUGGGUAGCGAACAGG